rnacentral:rRNA from 1 species
GUGGGGAAUCUUGCGCAAUGCGCGAAAGCGUGACGCAGCAACGCCGCGUGAGGGAAGACGGCCUUCGGGUUGUAAACCUCUUUCAGUUGGGACGAAGCUUCGGCGGUGAAUAGCCGUUCGGAGUGACGGUACCUUCAAAAGAAGCCCCGGCUAACUACGUGCCAGCAGCCGCGGUAAUACGUAGGGGGCAAGCGUUGUCCGGAAUCAUUGGGCGUAAAGCGCGUGUAGGCGGCUCGAUAAGUCCGCUCUGAAAGUCCGGGGCUCAACCCCGGGAGGCGGGUGGAUACUGUCGGGCUAGAGUCCGGAAGGGGCGAGUGGAAUUCCUGGUGUAGCGGUGAAAUGCGCAGAUAUCAGGAGGAACACCAAUGGCGAAGGCAGCUCGCUGGGACGGUACUGACGCUGAGACGCGAAAGCGUGGGGAGCAAACAGGAUUAGAAACCCCAGUAGUCC